UUAUUUUAUGCAUAUGUUGUAAUUUUCCCGCAUGUGAAUAGUUUCAUUUUCGAGUCUGGUUAUUAAAAUAUAUGAAAGCUCUAUAAAAGAGUAAGAAAAAAGGCAUGUUUAGGUAGUGAUAAUGAUAAAAAUGAAAAAAUAGAAAUGUUUUAAUCAUUAGCAUGACUUCUUAUGUUGUUUGGCUGAUAAAGAAAAAAAAAAAUAAUAGAUUCCAUGAAACAAUCAACUACCUUUUUUCAUGGCAUGGAUUUCAUACAAUAACGAGGUGACUAAUGCCAAAGGAAUAUUGCCAAUAAGGAUAUAACUUGGGUUCAAGUCAACUCAAGUAUGAUCGAGUCGAGUUGGGUUGGAUUGUUAAAGUCCUUGGGUUGGAAGAUGCCAACCUGAUUUGAAUUCAGGUUGGGCUUACGUUGAGCAAACAUGGAUUAGGUUAGGUUAGGUUAGGUUAGGAAUAAUCACAUAUAUCCAAGUUGAGGUCGAGUAGAAAGGACUUAGGGUUGGGCUGUUCGGCACCUCAUGUUGUGGGGUUGGAUUGAAGAUUAGGUUCUCUUGGGACGAGUUGGGUUUGGGUUGUCCCUCAACCUUCCCAAGUUGCAACCCCACAUGUUGAGGGAAUUUUGAUAAUUUGACGAUGGGUAAACUGAAUUACCUUAGUUUAGGUUUGCUU